rnacentral:rRNA from 1 species
GACGAACACUGGCGGCGCGCCUAACACAUGCAAGUCGAACGAGCGAGAGAGAGCUUACUUUCUCAAGCGAGUGGCGAACGGGUGAGUAACGCGUGAGGAACCUGCCUCAAAGAGGGGGACAACAGUUGGAAACGGCUGCUAAUACCGCAUAAGCCCACAGGUCGGCAUCGACCAGAGGGAAAGGAGCAAUCCGCUUUGAGAUGGCCUCGCGUCCGAUUAGCUGGUUGGUGAGCUAACGGCCCACCAAGGCGACGAUCGGUAGCCGGACUGAGAGGAUGAACGGCCACAUUGGGACUGAGAUACGGCCCAG